GACGAACGCUGGCGGCGUGCUUAACACAUGCAAGUCGAACGUGAAGCCUUUCUUCGGAGAGGUGGAAAGUGGCGAACGGGUGAGUGACGCGUAGACAACCUGCCCUUUGAUGGGGGAUAGCCCCGGGAAACUGGGAUUAAUACCGCGUGAUGCACCGAAGUCGCAUGGCUUUGGUGUUAAAGAUUUAUCGUCAGGGGGAUGGGUCUGCGUGACAUUAGGUAGUUGGCGGGGUAACGGCCCACCAAGCCGACGAUGUCUAGCUGGUCUGAGAGGAUGAUCAGCCACACUGGGACUGAGAUACGGCCCAGACUCCUACGGGAGGCAGCAGUGAGGAAUAUUGGACAAUGGGGGAAACCCUGAUCCAGCAACGCCGCGUGAACGAUGACGCUGUUACGCAGUGUAAAGUUCUGUAAGGAGGGAAGAACCACCGGGUAUUGCCCGGUCUGACGGUACCUCCUAAGUAAGCACCGGCUAACUCCGUGCCAGCAGCCGCGGU
rnacentral:rRNA from 1 species